rnacentral:misc_RNA from 1 species
GAUGAAGAACGUAGCGAAAUGCGAUACUUGGUGUGAAUUGCAGAAUCCCGUGAACCAUCGAGUCUUUGAACGCAAGUUGCGCCCGAAGCCAUUAGGCCGAGGGCACGCCUGCCUGGGUGUCACACACCGUUACCCUCGCGCCAACGUCCAUCGUUGGCCGCGGCGCGGGGCGUGCGCUGACCUCCCGCGAGCGGGGUCUCGUGGUUGGUUGAAAAUCGAGUUCGCGGUCGAGGGUGCCGUGAUGAAAUGGUGGAUGGGCGACGCCCGAGGCCAAUCACGCGCGACUCUGUCCGGCUCGGCCUCCUGGACCCCUUCGGCGUCUCCGGACGCUCUUUGGCGAGACCUCAGGUCAGGCGGGGCUACCCGCUGAGUUUAAGCAUAUCAAUAAGCGGAGGA